rnacentral:pre_miRNA from 1 species
AACCCGUAGAUCCGAACUUGCGUUCCCUUAAUCUCACAAGCUCGUGUCUAUCGGUCUG